rnacentral:rRNA from 1 species
GACGAACGCUGGCGGCGUGCCUAAUACAUGCAAGUCGAGCGGGCCUCCGGAGGUGCUUGCACCUCCGGAAGGCCAGCGGCGGACGGGUGAGUAACACGUGGGCAACCUGCCUUUGAGGCCGGGAUAACACCGGGAAACCGGUGCUAAUACCGGAUACGUCCUCUUUCGCGCCUGCGAGAGGGGAGAAAGACGGUCUUUAAGGCCGUCGCUCAAAGAGGGGCCCGCGGCGCAUUAGCUGGUUGGUGGGGUAAGGGCCUACCAAGGCGACGAUGCGUUGGCGACCUGAGAGGGUGAUCGGCCACACUGGGACUGAGACACGGCCCAGACUCCUGCGGGAGGCAGCAGUAGGGAAUCAUCCGUAAUGGGCGAAAGCCUGACGGUGCAACGCCGCGUGAGUGAGGAAGGUUUUCGGAUCGUAAAGCUCUGUUGUGAGGGAAGAACAGCUUCCGGAGGAAAUGCCGGAGGUUUGCCGGUACCUCACCAGAAAGCCCCGGCUAACUACGUGCCAGCCGCCGCCGUAAUAC